CUGCAUGAAGUCGGAAUUGCUAGUAAUCGCGGAUCAGCAUGCCGCGGUGAAUACGUUCCCGGGCCUUGUACACACCGCCCGUCACACCAUGGGAGCCGGUAAUACCCGAAGUCAGUAGUCCAACCUCGUGAGGACGCUGCCGAAGGUAGGAUUGGCGACUGGGGUGAAGUCGUAACAAGGUAUC
rnacentral:rRNA from 1 species